rnacentral:rRNA from 1 species
UUUCGCAAUGCCCGAAAGGGUGACGAAGCGACGCCGCGUGCGGGAAGAAGGCCUUCGGGUUGUAAACCGCUGUCGGGAGUUAAGAAAUGUAAGGAUGUUAAUAGCAUCUUUGCUUGACUAAGGCUCCAGAGGAAGCCACGGCUAACUCUGUGCCAGCAGCCGCGGUAAUACAGAGGCGGCAAGCGUUGUUCGGAAUUAUUGGGCGUAAAGAGCACGUAGGCGGCUAUGUAAGUCGGUUGUGAAAGCCUUCCGCUCAACGGGAGAACAGCAUCCGAUACUGCAUGGCUUGAGUGCGGGAGGGGAGAGUGGAACUUCUGGUGGAGCGGUGAAAUGCGUAGAUAUCAGAAGGAACGCCGGCGGCGAAAGCGGCUCUCUGGCCCAUAACUGACGCUGAGUGUGCGAAAGCUAGGGGAGCAAACGGGAUUAGAUACCCCGGUAGUCCUAGCCGUAAACGAUGGGCACUAAGUAGAGGGGUUUUAAUCUC